AGGAGAAGGAAUUAACAAAGAUUCCCUUAGUAACGGCGAGUGAAGUGGGAUGUAGCCCAGCACCGAAUCCGCCUGGCCUCGCGCCUUGUGGACCUGUGGUGUUUGGGGUCCCAACUUUCGUUGCGAGUCCAUGUUCCUCAGUCGCAUUGAAGGGCUUUUGCUCCAUAGCGGGUGUCAGACCCUUGUGACGAGCUGGAUCGGGCGAAGGUUUGAGGGACCUCUCGAGUCGGGUUGUUUGAGAAUGCAGCCCAAAGACGGUGGUAAGCUCCAUCGAAGGCUAAACAUUGCCACGAGUCCGAUAGCGAACAAGUACCGUGAGGGAACGUUGAAAAGGACUUCGAAGAGAGAGUUCAAUAGUACGUGAAACCGCCUAGAGGGAAACGAGUGGCUCCGCAUUGUCGGCCAACGGUGUUCAUGUCGAUGUGCUACGAGAUUCGGUCCGAGUUUGUGUACAGUCGAGCAGGUCUCCUUGUGGGAUUGUGUUUUGGCUCACAAAGCUUGCGACAUGAUGAUCGCACUCGAAUGCAUUCACCGUGAGGCAGGGCGUCACGAUCGCUUUUCGGCGAGCUAUCGAUCAUAAAGCUGGUGCGUGCGAACAUCUUCGUGAUGGUUCAACUCGUGCGGUCGUUGGUCGAGUUUGCUGGGGAGCGUGUAACGAUCACCGCGCGUGUGGGCAAAAACGGCCGUACGUUGUCGACGGACGAACCUUGGCGAUGGCCUAACGGCUGUCGUUCUGUUGGUCGUGUAAUCGGCGAGUGGGUCAGCCCUGUGUGGUUUUGGAUCGGUGGCGAUUGAGUCGG
rnacentral:rRNA from 1 species